CAUAAUUCAUCAGCGUUUAAUAAAUAGUUAUUUGUAUCAAAUCACCAAAAUGGCGGUGGUGCGAAGAACGCGAAAGUUAGUAGUUCUUCUGUUAGUUAGAUCCCGAGCAAAUCUUUUGUAGAUUGUUGAAGAAAAGGCUGUGUAAAAUCCGGCACAUUACUAUUGUGGGUAUUUGGAAUAAAAACUACGCACGUUAGACUUUGAAAAAGGCUCUGAAAUUUACAAUCAUAAAAAGGUCUUUGAGGAAACAAAACUGCGUUUUGCUUACAAUCGAAGCGAUCUUCCACUUGAUACUGUCCGAGGAACUCUUACAAUUCUUUGGCAACCAAAAGUGUCUCCUAUAGGUCCUGCGCAUUAUCGGAUUGAAGCUCCCUACCAUUUGAUGCCGUCCGGAGGAAAUGCUGCUGUCGCUGUUACAGCACCGAUGGACAGGGGCUAGCCGUCCGCUCAUGCAUCCUAUAGGAACCGAUCUGUAUUGCUGUCACCUGCUGCUAAUUCUACGAUUUUUAUUACUAUCUAUCGAUAAGCUCCAACAGCAACAGAAAACGAUAGACAUCACAGCACCUAUAGCAGAACAGAUAAGUUCUGAUGGAUGGAUGAGCGUGCAGAUGGCAUCUUCCUCUGCUCAUCGACGAUAUAACAGUAACAGCGGCAGUUUCCCCGAACAUCAUUAAAUGAUAGGUCUGUAGAUCCCGCUCCGUUUAUUAGCAGGAUCCAUUUUCGGUUGGAGCUUGUUGGAAGGAAAACGCAGCAAAUAGACUUAGUUUUAGAAAAAGAUCCUACAAUACAUCACAGCUCUAAAUAUUUAUAGGAAAACAUUUUGUGGCUGUAAAAAUGAAACUAUUUGAAAAUAAACAUUCCUCCGUAUUAUUUAA